CAAAAUUUAGCACUGCUGCCAUAGCAACAUUUUCGGAAGUUUUUUCUUCAAACAAUAACAAACUUCGAAAACGAAAGCUGACGACAUGCAGGGAAGCCGUGCCACAUCGGCUGUUAUUUCUCUGAGAAACUGGAAAAAAAAUUCUCCCGGGAGCAAAUAUUCGAGGGAUAAAAGAAACAUCCUUUUAUGACCAAACACUGGUAGGAGUACCUGAAUACAAAUCUAUGAAAGUUCCGGAAGUGAUGUCGUGAAGGUGUCUCACAGGCGUUUGUCAUCGGGCUUGGUUUUCCGUUCCAUGCACUCAUCACUGGGGUCUCCCAGAUGCAACAGACUAUCCAAGUCUCUAGAAUGGGUUGUUCCGGCAGCCAGGCAAUGCGCGAAUAACCGACGAAAUUAAGAAAGACCAACACCGACACUCUUCGCAUCACGAGAUCAUCACGAGAAAUCCGGUCUGAACAGAAAAGAAUGAUACAAGUUUUCUAAGUCGAAAAAUACCACAAUAUAUGUAUGUCGUGUUUUUUCGGAAUAUUUGGACUUGCAAAAACUUGCGUCAUUCUUCUCGACCGUAAGAAGAUAUUAAAAGUGUUAAUUCAGCAAAUGCGAGAAAGGACUUUUCCAGUUUUUACAUUCCUUUGAAUACUGAAAGAAUUAAUCAUUUCAUCCUUUCAGAUUGAUUCAAUUUUGAAUUGAGUAAUCAGAACUAUUUGUAGCGAUUGUAGCGAAGAUAUAUAAAUAUGAUGCAUAAAUGUUAUUAGACAUCUCGUUUUC